UGGGGAAUUUUGGACAAUGGGCGAAAGCCUGAUCCAGCAAUGCCGCGUGUGUGAAGAAGGCCUUCGGGUUGUAAAGCACUUUUGUCCGGAAAGAAAUCCUUGGCUCUAAUACAGUCGGGGGAUGACGGUACCGGAAGAAUAAGCACCGGCUAACUACGUGCCAGCAGCCGCGGUAAUACGUAGGGUGCAAGCGUUAAUCGGAAUUACUGGGCGUAAAGCGUGCGCAGGCGGUUUGCUAAGACCGAUGUGAAAUCCCCGGGCUCAACCUGGGAACUGCAUUGGUGACUGGCAGGCUAGAGUAUGGCAGGAGGGGGGUUAGAAUUCCACGUGUAGCAGUGAAAUGCGUAGAGAUGUGGAGGAAUACCGAUGGCGAAGGCAGCCCCCUGGGCCAAUACUGACGCUCAUGCACGAAAGCGUGGGGAGCAAACAGGAUUAGAUACCCUGGUAGUCCACGCCCUAAACGAUGUCAACUAGUUGUUGGGGAUUCAUUCCUUAGUAACGUAGCUAACGCGUGAAGUUGACCGCCUGGGGAGUACGGUCGCAAGAUUAAAACUCAAAGGAAUUGACGGGGUCAUAGCUGUUUCCU
rnacentral:rRNA from 1 species